rnacentral:rRNA from 1 species
GAUGAACGCUGACAGAAUGCUUAACACAUGCAAGUCUUUGGCGAAGCUGUGCUUGCACAGCCUAGCCAAGGCGGACGGGUGAGUAACGCGUAAGGAACUUGCCCUGCAGUCAGGGAUAACAGACGGAAACGACUGAUAAGACCUGGUAAAGUCAGGCGGACUCAUGUCCAGCCUGAUGAAAAGAGAUGCUGCAGGAGAGCCUUGCGUCCUAUUAGCUUGUUGGUGGGGUAACGGCCCACCAAGGCGAUGAUAGGUAGCCGGCCUGAGAGGGUCGACGGCCACAAGGGGACUGAGAUACGGCCCUUACUCCUACGGGAGGCAGCAGUGGGGAAUAUUGGACAAUGGGGGCAACCCUGAUCCAGCAAUUCUGUGUGCACGAUGAAGGUUUUCGGAUUGUAAAGUGCUUUCAGCAGGGAAGAAAAAAAUGACGGUACCUGCAGAAGAAGCGACGGCUAAAUACGUG